GAGUUUUGAUCCUGGCUCAGGAUGAACGCUAGCGGCAGGCUUAAUACAUGCAAGUCGAGGGGCAGCGGGUGUAGCAAUACAUGCCGGCGACCGGCGCACGGGUGCGUAACGCGUAUGCGACCUACCUUUAACUGGAGAAUAGCCCCGGGAAAUCGGGAUUAAUACUUCAUAACAUUGCGAAAAGACAUCUUUUUGCAAUUAAAGCUCAGGCGGUUAAAGAUGGGCAUGCGUGACAUUAGCUAGUUGGUGAGGUAACGGCUCACCAAGGCUACGAUGUCUAGGGGUUCUGAGAGGAUUAUCCCCCACACUGGUACUGAGAUACGGACCAGACUCCUACGGGAGGCAGCAGUAAGGAAUAUUGGGCAAUGGACGCAAGUCUGACCCAGCCAUGCCGCGUGAAGGAUGACAGCCCUACGGGUUGUAAACUUCUUUUGUACGGGAAAAAACUCUCGCUCGUGAGCGAGACUGAUGGUACCGUAAGAAUAAGCAUCGGCUAACUCCGUGCCAGCAGCCGCGGUAAUACGGAGGAUGCAAGCGUUAUCCGGAUUCAUUGGGUUUAAAGGGUGCGUAGGCGGGAUGAUAAGUCAGUGGUGAAAUCCUACAGCUUAACUGUAGAACUGCCAUUGAUACUGUUAACCUUGAGUACAUUUGAAGUGGGCGGAAUGUGUCAUGUAGCGGUGAAAUGCUUAGAUAUGACACAGAACACCGAUAGCGAAGGCAGCUCACUAAACUGUAACUGACGCUGAGGCACGAAAGCGUGGGGAUCAAACAGGAUUAGAUACCCUGGUAGUCCACGCCGUAAACGAUGAUCACUCGAUGUGUGCGAUAUACUGUACGCGUCUAAGCGAAAGCAUUAAGUGAUCCACCUGGGGAGUACGUUCGCAAGUAUGAAACUCAAAGGAAUUGACGGGGGCCCGCACAAGCGGAGGAGCAUGUGGUUUAAUUCGAUGAUACGCGAGGAACCUUACCUGGGCUUAAAUGGGAGAGGACAGUUGCCGAAAGGUGACAUUCCGCAAGGACCGCUCUCAAGGUGCUGCAUGGCUGUCGUCAGCUCGUGCCGUGAGGUGUUGGGUUAAGUCCCGUAACGAGCGCAACCCCUAUCUUUAGUUGCCAUCAGGUAAUGCUGGGAACUCUAAAGAAACUGCCUACGUAAGUAGUGAGGAAGGUGGGGAUGACGUCAAGUCAGCACGGCCCUUACGUCCAGGGCUACACACGUGCUACAAUGGUCGGUACAGAGGGUCGCUACCUGGUGACAGGAUGCUAAUCUCCGAAACCGAUCUCAGUUCGGAUCGAAGUCUGCAACUCGACUUCGUGAAGUUGGAUUCGCUAGUAAUCGCAUAUCAGCAAUGAUGCGGUGAAUACGUUCCCGGGCCUUGUACACACCGCCCGUCAAGCCAUGGGAGUUGGGGGUACCUGAAGUCGAUAACCGUAAGGAGUCGCCUAGGGUAAAACCAAUGACUGGGGCUAAGUCGAAACAAGGUA
rnacentral:rRNA from 1 species